AACUUUUGACAAUGGAUCACUUGGUUCUGGCAUCGAUGAAGAACGCAGCGAAAUGCGAUAAGUAAGGUGAAUUGCAGAAUUCAGUGAAUCAUCGAAUCUUUGAACGCACAUUGCGCCCUGUGGUAUUCCGCAGGGCAUGCCUGUUCGAGCGUCAUUUAACCACUCACGCCUGGCGUGGUAUUGGGGCACGCGGUCUCGCGGCCCUCAAAGUCAGUGGCGGCGCCGGUGGGCUCUAAGCGUAGUACAUACUCCCGCUAUAGAGUUCCCCUGGUGGCUCGCCAGAACCCCCAAUUUUUACAGGUUGACCUCGGAUCAGGUAGGGAUACCCGCUGAACUUAAGCAUAUCAAUAAGCGGAGGC
rnacentral:misc_RNA from 1 species